CCAGGUAGCUAGCUGAGCUAAUCCUCCUGUCUGUUUCCUCCUCCCCCAGGUGUUUCAGUCACCUCCAGUAACACGGGCGUGCCAGAUAUCUCGGGUUCUGUGUACUCCAAAACCCAGCAGUCCUUUGAGAAACAAGGUUUUCAUUCCGGUACUCCUGCUGCUUCCUUCAACUUGCCUUCAGCCCUAGGAAGUGGGGGCCCCAUCAAUCCGGCCACAGCUGCUGCCUACCCACCUGCCCCCUUUAUGCACAUUCUGACCCCCCAUCAGCAGCCGCAUUCUCAGAUCCUUCACCAUCACCUGCAGCAGGAUGGCCAGGUAAUAGCCCUUCCCCUUCUCUCCUUUCCCUUCCUCUUCCUUCCUAUCCCUUAAAACUGCCUUCCCUUUCCUUUUCUUACCCUUCCUCACCACCACCUUCACCCAAUCCCUCCCCAGCGCCAGUCAUGGGCACACAGCACAUACAGACACAAGCGCACAUAACACGAGCGGCCGGCAAAGGAAAUCUCAGAGAAGGGCCGGGUUGAAACCUUUUUUGCCCAAUUCCUUUGGUGCCCUUCUCCUCCUGUGCCACAGUUGUCCUCAUCCCAUCAGACCUGGGUCACACCUUCCCUCUUUCCUCUCCCAGCCUUCCCUCUUCCCUGACAUUUUAGCUUUCCCUUCUAAUGGUGGAGUUCUAUUGUCAAAGUUUGUCCCUUUAUUUUCCAUAUAUCCUGGUUCUGCCUCAGCUACCAUAUUUGCAGAUGAUUCUCUGUUGCCAGCGCCAGCAGGAGGAGCAGGUAAUGAAAUUGAAUGAUCAUAUGCUUGAACCCACUCCUUUUCAGUCCCCAUUUCACCUUCACAGCCUCAGGGAACUUGAAAAGACUGCGCGGUCACAAAUCGGGAUACACAAACACAAACACCUUGCUGAGCUCUCUGGCCUCCCCUUCCUCUCUCCUCCUCCCCUCCCCAACACCCUCUUUAUCUUUGUACCCUUCCCCAGCUGUGGAAAACAUUCGGUUACCAGAAUGGAAAAGAUUCUUGGGGCAGCAUCUGGAGCCUGAGGCCUCAGACUGCCUCUCA
rnacentral:sRNA from 1 species